rnacentral:rRNA from 1 species
CAGCAGCCGCGGGAACACCAGCACCUCGAGUGGUCAGGAGGUUUAUUGGGCCUAAAGCAUCCGUAGCCGGUUGCAUAAGUUUUCGAUUAAAUCUAUGCGCUUAACGUAUAGGCCGCCGAAAAUACUGUGCAGCUAGGGAGUGGGAGAGGUACACGGUACUCGAUAGGAAGGGGUAAAAUCCUUUGAUCUAUUGAUGACCACCUGUGGCGAAGGCGGUGUACCAGAACACGUUCGACGGUGAGGGAUGAAAGCUGGGGGAGCAAACCGGAUUAGAUACCCCAGUAGUCCCUGUCUCUUAUAC